rnacentral:misc_RNA from 1 species
GAUGGAACGUAGCGAAAUGCGAUAAGUAGUGUGAAUUGCAGACUUUAGUGAAUCAUCGAAUCUUUGAACGCACAUUGCGCCCCUUGGUAUUCCAUUGGGCAUGUCUGUUCGAGCGUCAUUUACAACCUCAAGCUCCGCUUGGUGUUGGGUGUCUGUCUGCGCUUCUUGCGAAGACUCGCCCUAAAUCUAUUGGCAGCGGCAUCGCCGGCUUCUCGCGCAGUACAAUGCGUUAUGGAAGGCUACCGGCGGGCUUGCGUCCAUCAAGUAACCCCCCAAGUUUGACCUCGAAUCAGGUAGGGAUACCCGCUGAACUUAAGCAUAUCAAUAAGCGGAGGA